CAUCCUCCAAGGCUAAAUACUCCUGACUGACCGAUAGUGAACCAGUACCGUGAGGGAAAGGCGAAAAGAACCCCGGCGAGGGGAGUGAAAAAGAACCUGAAACCGUGUACGUACAAGCAGUGGGAGCACAGGUUUACCUGUGUGACUGCGUACCUUUUGUAUAAUGGGUCAGCGACUUAUAUUCUGUAGCAAGGUUAACCGUAUAGGGGAGCCGUAGGGAAACCGAGUCUUAACCGGGCGUUAAGUUGCAGGGUAUAGACCCGAAACCCGGUGAUCUAGCCAUGGGCAGGUUGAAGGUUGGGUAACACUAACUGGAGGACCGAACCGACUAAUGUUGAAAAAUUAGCGGAUGACCUGUGGCUGGGGGUGAAAGGCCAAUCAAACCGGGAGAUAGCUGGUUCUCCCCGAAAGCUAUUUAGGUAGCGCCUCGUGAAUUCAUCUCCGGGGGUAGAGCACUGUUUCGGCUAGGGGGCCAUCCCGGCUUACCAACCCGAUGCAAACUGCGAAUACCGGAGAAUGUUAUCACGGGAGACACACGGCGGGUGCUAACGUCCGUCGUGAAGAGGGAAACAACCCAGACCGCCAGCUAAGGUCCCAAAGUCAUGGUUAAGUGGGAAACGAUGUGGGAAGGCCCAGACAGCCAGGAUGUUGGCUUAGAAGCAGCCAUCAUUUAAAGAAAGCGUAAUAGCUCACUGGUCGAGUCGGCCUGCGCGGAAGAUGUAACGGGGCUAAACCAUGCACCGAAGCUGCGGCAGCGACACUAUGUGUUGUUGGGUAGGGGAGCGUUCUGUAAGCCUGUGAAGGUGUGUCGUGAGGCAUGCUGGAGGUAUCAGAAGUGCGAAUGCUGACAUAAGUAACGAUAAAGCGGGUGAAAAGCCCGCUCGCCGGAAGACCAAGGGUUCCUGUCCAACGUUAAUCGGGGCAGGGUGAGUCGACCCCUAAGGCGAGGCCGAAAGGCGUAGUCGAUGGGAAACGGGUUAAUAUUCCCGUACUUGGUGUUACUGCGAAGGGGGGACGGAGAAGGCUAUGUUGGCCGGGCGACGGUUGUCCCGGUUUAAGCGUGUAGGUGUGUGUUCCAGGUAAAUCCGGUUCACUUUAACACUGAGGCGUGAUGACGAGGCACUACGGUGCUGAAGCAACAAAUGCCCUGCUUCCAGGAAAAGCCUCUAAGCAUCAGGUAACAUCAAAUCGUACCCCAAACCGACACAGGUGGUCAGGUAGAGAAUACCAAGGCGCUUGAGAGAACUCGGGUGAAGGAACUAGGCAAAAUGGUGCCGUAACUUCGGGAGAAGGCACGCUGACACGUAGGUGAAGUGAUUUACUCA
rnacentral:rRNA from 1 species